CCUGGACUUGCUGACGGGUCCUGCCCCGGCUCUGUCUGGGCUCCUGUGAACCGCCCUGCGUUUCCUUUCUAGGGCCUUAAGCGCCCGCCCGCCCGGGGGUCUGGGUGGUGGCGGACGGUAAGGAAUGAGUGGCCCCACCCUUCUCUCCGUCGGCCUCCAGGUGAGCAGGGCGGCCCCCUCCCUGCACGUGCCACAAGGGGGGCACGCGCCUCCUCCGGAGGUGGUGCACGUUCCGCGUGGACAUGAAUCACACUCGGCGGUGACAAGGCAGCAAAGUCAGAACUUCAUAACCCACCCACGUGGUCGCUGAAAGCGCUCUUCCAAAUUAGGUCAAAGCAGAAGUAAAACUGAAAUCGCAGACAUCGGGAUUCAUGGAUGUGGUCGAGUUUGCAUUUAGAGACGAAUUAAAUGCUUUCUUGAUUAAGGAAUAUAAAGGAGAACAAAAGGGGAGCAGGGACGUGGCCCCCGAGAGGAAGGCAGGCCACACCGUCAGAAGGCCGCGGCGGCUCAGGGCUCAGGGGCGGCCGGUGUGGCUGGGCGCUCGUGGUGUGGCUGCUGCCCCUGAAACAGAGAGGUGGCCAACGAGGGGUCAAGAAGAGGCCGGAGACCUGAGGACCAGACCCAUGGGAACUUGACCCUUAUCCAGGAGGGGUCUUCCAAACGGCCAGACUCCGCCAGGCCACCGGGAACUGGUCACACCUGGGCCGUGUGGGCAAGCGUGAGGCUGGCGCAGCCGUGAGCCCUGUCACCCCAGGAGCCGGGAGGCUGGGGCAGGAGGAUCCUCAGUUCAAGGCUGGGCUGGACAGCGAGCGGGAUGGGGCCAGGGGAGAGCACUUGCCUGGCCGGCACAAGGGGCUGGUCCAUCCCCACCCCCACAAGACGAACGGAACCAAG
rnacentral:lncRNA from 1 species